rnacentral:rRNA from 1 species
UACGAAGGGGGCUAGCGUUGUUCGGAAUCACUGGGCGUAAAGGGCGCGUAGGCGGCUUUAUAAGUCGGGGGUGAAAGCCUGUGGCUCAACCACAGAAUUGCCUUCGAUACUGUAGAGCUUGAGACCGGAAGAGGUAAGUGGAACUGCGAGUGUAGAGGUGAAAUUCGUAGAUAUUCGCAAGAACACCAGUGGCGAAGGCGGCUUACUGGUCCGGUUCUGACGCUGAGACACGAAAGCGUGGGGAGCAAACAGG